rnacentral:lncRNA from 1 species
AGGAAAUCAAUUAACUAUAAAAUCAUCCAUAACAUUGAAUAUUCAUGACUAGGGCUUCACCCUAAGCCCUAACUAAAUGGAUUAGUUAGACAUAACUAUGAAUACAGAAAAUAAGAAAUACAUAGAUAGGAUAAAGAGACGAGAAGAACUAGAUGAUGGGAGCAAGGAAGUUCCCAGGACAGCUCCAAGCUCCCUUCUCUCUUUGUGGUGAAUCUGAAUGUGUAUAUGAAAGUAAUGGAUGAAAUGAAUGUGUGUGUCUGCCCUCUCUCCCCUUGAAAGAGUGUGCAACUCUCUAUUUAUAGAGUGCAAUUUCGUGCUCCCCUUUGGCUGGUGAAGCACACCUCUCUUAGCUGCUGCCAACUGCUCUAGCUGCCCAUACAUGCCUGUUGCUCCAGCUGCCCAUACUUGCCUGUUGCUCCAGCUGCCCAUACUUGCCUGUUGGACUUUUCUUGGUUUUUGAGUUCCCAUACUGAUUUGUCUCCCAUGUGUGGCUGCUCUAAUGUGUAGCACAUGGCUCUAGGGAUGUAGCCACAUUAAAUAUGAUGGCAGCCAACAUGACAUUUCUGCGAACUUGGUUCAGUCUUUGACGUGUUGAGGGCUCCAGUUGUAUCCAAUUGGGCUGAACUUUGGAUAUGUUAUAAUAGACGCCCAUUGGAACAACGUCUAUGAAGGAUGUCUCCUCAUCUGACCUGUGUAAGUUACUGAAAUGAGGCCUGCAAGAUGACCUACGAAACUGGACUGACAAGGAGUGUGGCACAAAUUGGUUUUGUCUUUAAGCUCAUAUUCCACUUGUGCCACUCAGCCCUUAACAUGCAUGAAUUGUAUCAAAUGUCAUCCCCUUGCUAUAUUAACCUACAAAGCACACAAACAUAGGUAAGAGACUCAAAAUAAAGAGAAGCUAACAAAAUUACUAAGGAAAGAAGGCAUGCAAAUGUGUGAAAUUAUGAACUUAUCAAAUACCCCAAAACUUAGAUUUUGCUAGUCCUCGAGCAAAACAAAAUAAAACUACAACUUAGGAAACAGGAAAUAAGCAACUAGCCUUCCAAACAAUAUCCUCAAAGAAUCAUCAGUGUAAAUGGUUCCAAAGAAACACAACAAUCACAAUCUAAGUUCCACACAUGAUUCACGAGAAAGCAAAGCUAGCAUUGACACCCUUAAGUGUAGUGUGUGAAUGCCAAAUCCGAACAACACCUGCAUCUCAAAUAAGUACAUGUGCACACACUUAGAGCAAAAUCAAGAAUUCCGAACCCCAUAAGCUCAUUAUCCAAUCUGCUCUCCACAGUAAUACCAUGCAACACCAAGGAUCAAAAGGACUUUACAAGGGUAGUAAUGAGGUUUAGGGUAGUGGUUGAAUGAAAGAAGGGAUAUGAGAUAUACAAUAUUUUGAGCACACUUAAAGCACAGGUAAGAGCAUAAGAGAGUACUGAACUUUGUAACAAGCAAGGAACACAUACAUGAGCAGAUUUUCAACAUAAUUUCAGCACCUUGAAAUGUGUUUAUUUGGCCUAAUUUUGUGGCUCUUUACCCUAGAUCACAAUGAUGUUCUCCUUAUAACACCCUAGGGCCGUGACUACAUUGGUCACACUUCAUUACCUCUUUUGAUUAGUUACCAAUACCCCCAAACUUAUUUCUUUUCAACACUUGGGUUACGGCACCAAUUAUUCACUUUUGCUCUAUAAACCUUGCAUUCUUUAUAACUCUCUUUUGAAGAUAACUUUAAUUGCUCAUACAAUAAGUAAGGAUAAGAAAACAGAGGCUCAUUAUGGUAGGAUUCAUUUACACAAAGAAAGGCUUAACGUAGGCUCAAAUGGGAUGACUAGGGAUGAAUACAUGUAGAGGGAUGGUUAGAAAGGCUCAAACGGUUCAAACAUGGCCUAAAUCACUUCCUAAGCAUUGUAUGGCAACAAAAUGUCUCAAGAAAUAUUCAAAUAAGUUCUAGAGUACGAAACCAAGAUCAUGAGAUAACUAGAAUUGCAUAACGUCUCUAAGUAGCAAGAUGUUGGACUAACUUGGCAAAGUGCUCAAUAAGUGCAAGGAUGGCAUGCAGGACAAAGUUAACUUAGAAUCACACGCAGACCUUAAACAAUGACUAUCAAUUUCUGAAAAACCAUAAUAGUAUUAAAUCUAAGUCUUUAUCAUAGGUGUUUGGAAGGAUAACGAAACAACACACAAAAUCCUGCGUUUUUAGACAGUAGACACACUCAAAAAUUUUAAAAUUUGACAAUUUGAAACAGCAUAACUAAAUCCUUCCCCCCAAACUUAAAUGAAACAUUGUCCUCAAUGUUUAGAGUGUAAGAAAAAGCAAUGCCUCAUUAAUGAAAGGAAAGAAGACAAGGGAAAGACAUAACCAAAGGUUAGAUUUCAGAAAAACUCCCCUUUGAAGCGAUUAGGAUGCAAGCAAGCUUCCUCGCAUAUUCUAUCUUCUCCUCAUCACCUUGGGUUGCCUCCCAAGAAGCGCUAAGUUUCACGUCGUCAGCCGGACGUCCAAACUCUGGUGAGCUUUAAGAGAGUGGUGGAGGCUCCUUGAGUGCUUGAGACUCAAUAUUGGCAUCAAAGUUGGCAUCGAAGUAAGGUUUCAACCGAUGUCCAUUCACCUUGAAGGUGCUGCCAUCCUUAAUGUUUUGAAUCUCCACUGCGCCAUGAUUAAACACAUUAGUAAUAACAAAAGGGCCAAUCCACCGAGAACAAAGCUUACCUGGGAAGAGCUUAAGGCGUGAAUUGAAUAAGAGAACCUUCUGCCCUUUCUCAAACGUCUUCCUAAGAAUUUUCUUGUCGUGAUAUUGCUUUGUUUUCUCCUUGUAAAGCUUCGCAUUCUUAUACGCUUCAUGUCUCAACUCCUCCAGCUCAUUGAGUUGAAGCCUCCUCUUCUCACCAGCGGCUUUCAUAUCAAAAUUGAAGGCCUUGAUUGCCCAAUAAGCCCUGUGCUCAAGCUCCACUGGUAAGUGACAAGGUUUACCGAAAAUAAGUCUAUACGGAGACAUACCUAUAGGGGUCUUAUAAGCAGUCCUAUAAGCCCACAAUGCAUCAUCCAAACGCAUGGACCAAUCCUUCCUUGUGGUGUUCACUGUCUUUUCAAGUAUGUACUUAAUCUCCCUAUUGCUUAUAUCAACCUGCCCACUAGUUUGAGGAUGAUAGGGUGUUGCCACCUUAUGCGUGAUUCCAUAUCUCUUCAAGAGUGCUGCAAAAGCUUGGUUAACAAAGUGGGAGCCACCAUCACUAAUGAUUGCUCUAGGUGUGCCAAACCUUGUAAAAAUAUUUCCUUUGAGAAAACCGAUCACAACUUUAGCAUCAUUAGUUCUAGUGGCAAUGGCUUCCACCCAUUUAGAAACAUAAUCGACAGAAACUAAUAUAUAUUCAAAUCCAUAAGAGGUAGGAAAAGGGCCCAUGAAAUCAAUUCCCCAAACAUCAAAUAUAUCAAUGAUUAAGAUAUUGGUGAGAGGCAUCUGGUUUCUAGCAUGUAAAUUACCCAUCCGUUGGCAUCUAUCACAUGAAGCACAAAAAACAUAAGCAUCCUUAAAAAGGGUAGGCCAAAAGAAACCUGAUUGUAGCACCUUGCUGGCAGUCUUCUUUGCUCCAAAAUGGCCUCCGCAUGCGUGGGAGUGACAAAACUCCAGAAUGCUCUUAAAAUCACCUUCAGGCACACACCUUCGAAUUACUUGGUCUGGACAAUGCUUGAAUAGAUAGGGAUCAUCCCAAAAGUAGUAUCUUGCUUGCUUCCUAAGCUUGUCACGUUGGAACGUAGAUAACCCUGUAGGGAGUUCGUUAGUGCACAAAUAGUUAACAAUAUCAGCAAACCAAGGCAAUGGAUUGAGAGAAUUCAAAGCACAAAUGGAGAAGAGUUGCUCAUCAGGGAAGCUUUCACGCAAUGGCAAUGAAUCCUCCUCUUCGUUAGAUACAUGCACCAAUCUACUCAAGUGAUCAGCCACGACAUUCUCACUUCCUUUCUUAUCUUUUAUCUCCAAGUCAAACUCUUGCAACAAGAGAAUCCAUCUAAUGAGUCGCGGUUUGGCAUCCUUCUUAGCUAACAAGUAUUUCAAUGCUGCAUGAUCAGUGUAAACAAUAACCUUGUUAGUAAUCAAAUAUGAUCUAAACUUCUCUAAAGCAAAUAUGACGGCUAACAACUCCUUCUCUGUGGUGGAAUAGUUGAGUUGGGCAUCGUUGAGGGUUCUACUAGCAUAGUAGAUGGCAUGUGGCUUCUUAUCAACUCGCUGUCCCAAAACAGCUCCAACAACAUAAUCUGAGGCAUCACACAUCAAUUCAAAGGGCAAGCUCCAAUCCGGUGGUAUAAUGACUGGGGCAGUUGUGAGCAUCUUCUUCAAAGCAUUGAAAGCAUUCUCACAGUCUUGAUCAAACACAAAAUCCAUGUCCUUGGCAAGGAGAUUGCACAUAGGCCUUGCAAUCUUAGAAAAAUCCUUAAUGAAACGCCUAUAGAAACCUGCAUGGCCAAGGAAAGAACGUACUUCUUUGACAGAAGUAGGUGAGGGCAUAGAGGCAAUCAAAUCAAUCUUAGCUUUAUCUACCUCAAUUCCUUUACUAGAGAUGACAUGACCAAGAACUAUGCCUUGGUUAACAAUAAAAUGACAUUUUUCCCAAUUAAGCACAAGGUUAGUAUGUUCACAUCUAGCCAACACCUUGGAUAAGUUAUGCAAGCAUUGAUCAAAAGAAUCACCAAAGACAGAGAAGUCAUCCAUGAAUACCUCAAUGAACCUUUCUACCAUGUCGGAGAAAAUGCUCAUCAUGCACCUUUGAAAAGUGGCUGGGGCGUUACAGAGACCAAAAGGCAUCCUCCUAUAGGCGAAAGUGCCAAAGGGACAUGUGAACGUGGUCGAUCCGCAGGCCGUGCAGCUAUGGCGAUUUGGUUGUAGCCUGAAUAUCCAUCAAGGAAGCAAUAGUGGCUAUGCCCAGCUAAUCUCUCAAGCAUUUGAUCAAUGAAUGGAAGAGGAAAGUGAUCUUUGCUUGUUGCUGUGUUGAGCUUCCUAUAAUCAAUGCAAACUCUCCAGCCCGUGGUCAUCCGUGUAGGUACAAGCUCGUUUGCUUCAUUCUUCACCACUGUGAUACCUGACUUCUUGGGGACAACUUGCACUGGGCUCACCCAUUGACUGUCAGAAAUAGGGUAAAUAAUACCAACAUUUAAAAGCUUCAUUACCUCUUUUCUUACCACCUCCUUCAUGUUUGGAUUGAGACGUCUUUGGGCAUCCCUCUUAGGCAUUGCAUUGUCUUCCAAUAAUAUCUUGUGCAUGCACAGUGUUGGGCUUAUGCCUUUGAUAUUUGCAAUGCUCCACCCAAUCGCAGUUUUGUGCUCUUUUAGAACUCUCAAAAGCUUCUUUUCAUCAUUUGGUCCGAGAUGUGAGGCAAUGAUAACAGGUAGAGUCUCAUUUUCACCUAAAUAAGCAUAUUUAAGGUGUUUUGGCAAUUGCUUUAAUUCCAACUCUGGUGCCUGCACAAUAGAAGGUAAAACCUUAUUAGUAGGUGGGGGUAAUGAUUCAAAUUGGUUUGCAUACCUCUUUCCAAUUUCUAUGUAGCUAUCCAUGCUGCAAACAAGCUCAAGAAGUAAAAAGAUCACAGCCUCAAAGCUGUCCACUUCUUCUUUCCUUAUGCUUUGUGUGAUGCAUGCUUCAAUGGGCUCCAAAUAACUCAUUGGCAGUGCUUCUUUCACCAUAGUAUCAAUUGCAUCAAGAUGGAAAACUUCAUGCUCAUCACUUGGAAACUUGGAGGCUUCAAACACUUUGAAUGCUAUUGUCUCAUCAAACACAUUCAUGGUCAAUGUACCCUUCUUCACAUCAAUAAUAGCACCGGCAGUUGCCAUGAAUGGCCGACCUAGAAUGAGUGGUAACUGAUUGUCAUGAAUUGGUGCUUCUUCCAUCUCCAACACCAAGAAAUCUGCUGGCAAAAUUAGCUCUUCCACUUUCACCAAAACAUCUUCUAGAAUGCCCUUAGGGUACCUAAUAGUUCUAUCUGCCAAUUGAAUGCUCACAGAUGUGGCUUGCAACUCACCAAGGUUAAGUUUCUCAUAAACAUGAUAUGGCAUAAGAUUUAUAGAAGCACCAAGAUCAAGCAAAGCUUUUUGAAACUUAAAAUCACCAACUAUGCAAGGUAUAGAAAACGAACCUGGAUCCUUUAGCUUUGGAGGCAGGUUUCUUUGUAACACUGCACUUACCUCUUCACUCAAUGCAACUUGUUCAUGCUCUUUGAAUCUCCUCUUGUUAGUGCAUAGAUCCUUCAAAAAAUUUGCAUACUUUGGAAUCUGAGUAAUGGCAUUGAGCAAUGGGAUGUUGAUUUGCACCUUCUUGAAUGUUUCCAUUAUCUCAUCCAAGCCUUGAUCUUUCUUUGACUUUGAUAACCUGCUGGGAAAGGGUGCAAUAGGCCUAAAAGCAUUAGUUGAAAUUGGAACUUGAUUAGCAUUAGAUGAUACCUUAGGGCCUGUGCUCUUUCCAGGAGCAUUGAUGGACUGAUUGUUGGAAGCUGUGGGCUGCCCAUGUGGUGGCUGAAUGAUCUCCACGUUUUCUCCAUCUUCUUGUUCUUCAUUGGCAUCUCCAACCUUAUUAUCAACUUGUUUACCACUUCUCAAGAUGUGUACUGCUUUAGCAUGCUCUUGAUGCCUUGGAUUCACCUCCGUUUGGCUUGGGAAAGUUCCGGAUGCUCUAUUGCUCAUGGAGGAUGCAAUCUGCCCAACUUGCACUUCUAGUUUGUUCACUGCAUUUUGAAGAUUCUGAUUGGUUUGCAUCUGUUGCCCCAUGAACUUCUUGAACAUGUCUUGCAAUUCUCCCAUUUGAUCACCCCUUUGCUCUUGCACUUGUUGCGGAGCUUGUUGGAAUUGCCUUUGUUGUGUUUGGAAUCCUGGGGGAGGUCCUUGAGAUUGUUGCACAUUUGAAUUGUUGCUCCACCUGAAAUUAGGAUGAUUUCUCCACCCCGGAUUGUAUGUGUUUGAGUAAGGAUCAUUAUUAGGAUUCCUUGCUUGAAGGGAAUUUGCUUGUUCUAGCAUGUGCUCCGCAAAAGAUUGGUCUACAAACUUCCACUUUGUUUCCUAGAGGGCCAGUCACUGCCUGUUGAAGCAAAGAACACAUAACAUCAAGUUUUGCAGCAAUUUCAUUAUUAGUACUUACCUCAGAGACCACAGCUUUCAUAGGAGCUCCUCUUCCUUUAUUGUGGCUCCAUUGUUGAGAGUUAGCACUCAAGGAUUCAAAGAGAGUAAAAGCCUCAUCUGCUGUUUUGUUCAUCAGUCCUUCUCCACUUGUUGAAUCUACCAUCAUCCUUUCGGAAUCAAGUAAACCUUCAUAGAAAGAUUGCAUUUGCAUCCAACUCUCUAUGUUGUGGUGUGGGCAAGAACUUAUCAUCUCCUUGUACCUCUCCCAACAUUCAUGAAAAGCUUCUCCUUCCUUUUGUGUGAAACCAAGAAUUUCCUUUCUAAUCUUGUUAGUCUUUUGAGCCGGAAAAAAUUUCUGCAAAAACUUAUUAGAAAGCUCUUCCCAAGUAUGAAUUGAAGCAUUAGGAAAAGAGUAUAACCAAGACUUAGCUUUAUCUUUUAAACUGAAUGGGAAUAGCCUCAUCUUAAUCUGCUCAUCAUCAAGGUUUUGAAUUUUGAUCGUAGCACAUAUUUCAAAGAAUUGCUUAAUAUGCAUGUAAGGAUCCUCAGUGGUAUUACCAUAAUAAGUUGGAAGAAGAUGAAUCAUACCACUUUUAAGCUCAAACCUGUCAACUGUGAGUUGAGGAUAGACGAUGCAUAAAGGUUGAUCGGUGACUUUGGGAAUGGAAAACUCACGCAGGGAUUUUCUUGGUUGGACAACAAGCACACCACCUCCUUCAUCAUUGUUGUUGUUCGAAAUCUCUACCAUGUUGCUUGAACCUUCAGAUUCGUAACUUUUAGAUUCAACGCUUGAAGAACUAUAGUUCUUCCUCAAACCAGCAUGCACAGCAGCGGUUCUUGGUGAAAGUGGCUCAGGUGAACUUUGCUCCUGGUCAGAUUCGGACAUGCACACACCAAGGAAGUCAAUUCAGUGCCUUCAAUGGAGAUAACAACAAAAUACAAAACUGAAUACUAAAAGAAAAACCAACGAAAAGAAACAAAUGAAAUAAACAAAAACAAAACAAUCAAAGUAAUCUAACUAUAGCACCAUCAUUACCGGUUCCCCGGCAACGGCGCCAAAAACUUGUUGAGCCUAUUGUUAACAACUAAAAUGAGUUAUUAAAAACAGCAACUUUAAUUCUCGCAAGUGCACGAACCGUUUAUAGUAUAGCUUAUGUAAAUACGAGGUCGAUCCCACGGAGAGUGGUAACUUGGUUCCAAGUUAAAUUACUUAGAAUGUUAGAAAAAUAUAGAACAAAGAAACUGACUAACUAGCUAAAGGCAUGGUCGAAUUCAACAAUGCCUCUUGCUAAUUACUCAAGGUCUAGGACAGAAUCCUAGCACCACACACGCACUCGAAAUGGGGGGUUUUGUUGUUGAAAUGAAAACAAGGAAGUGAAAUGAAAGUGCUCGAAAGUGAACACUGGUAGCAAUCAACAAGUUGUGAAACAAUGAUUGAGAGGUGUUAGAGCCUUGGAAUCCACCACUAGUUUUCCUAUCCAAGUUAUGAAUGCAUAGAAAUUGACUCAAGCUUCAUUAGCAAUAGAUUAUCGCAUACAAGCCUAUGGUAUCUAGGUGCAGGAUGCAUGAUUCUCCUAAGGCAUGUGAUUAUGCAUGGUAUCUACACAACACGUGAUCUCUAAUAUGCAACCUAAGCAUGGUAUCUACUUAGAAUAAAGCAUACAAGAGUCAUUAAGCUCCUUGAGAAUAUGAUAAUCACACAAGUCCUAGAACAUGGUAUCUGUCCUAGUCAACCUAUGGUUAUUAACCCCUUGAAUGAUUCUUAGGCCAUUCAUGUGUUGCUUGUGAAAGGAGAGUAGAAUAGGUGAAUCUAAACCCCUUCCCAACCUAUGCUAGAUGCAUAAAAUCCUAGUUAGCUACUCCAAGAGAACAUACAUCAAGCACAUAAUAAACUAGAGAUUAACAACUUGAUAAUAAAAGCAAGGAAAUCAAUUAACUAUAAAAUCAUCCAUAACAUUGAAUAUUCAUGACUAGGGCUUCAUCCUAAGCCCUAACUAAAUGGAUUAGUUAGACAUAACUAUGAAUACAGAAAAUAAGAAAUACAUAGAUAGGAUAAAGAGACGAGAAGAACUAGAUGAUGGGAGCAAGGAAGUUCCCAGGACAGCUCCAAGCUCCCUUCUCUCUUUGUGGUGAAUCUGAAUGUGUGUAUGAAAGUAAUGGAUGAAAUGAAUGUGUGUGUCUGCCCUCUCUCCCCUUGAAUGAGUGUGCAACUCUCUAUUUAUAGAGUGCAAUUUCGUGCUCCCCUUUGGCUGGUGAAGCACACCUCUCUUAGCUGCUGCCAACUGCUCUAGCUGCCCAUACAUGCCUGUUGCUCCAGCUGCCCAUACUUGCCUGUUGGACUUUUCUUGGUUUUUGAGUUCCCAUACUGAUUUGUCUCCCAUGUGUGGCUGCUCUAAUGUGUAGCACAUGGCUCUAGGGAUGUAGCCACAUUAAAUAUGAUGGCAGCCAACACGAUAUUUCUGUGAACUUGGUUCAGUCUUUGACGUGUUGAGGGCUCCAGUUUUAUCCAAUUGGGCUGAAAUUUGGAUAUGUUAUAAUAGACACCCAUUGGAACAACGUCUAUGAAGGAUGUCUCCUCAUCCGACCUGUGUAAGUUACUGAAAUGAGGCCUGCAAGAUGACCUACGAAACUGGACUGACAAGGAGUGUGGCACAAAUUGGUUUUGUCUUUAAGCUCAUAUUCCUCUUGUGCCACUCAGCCCUUAACAUGCAUGAAUUGUAUCAAAUGUCAUCCCCUUGCUAUCUUAACCUACAAAGCACACAAACAUAGGUAAGAGACUCAAAAUAAAGAGAAGCUAACAAAAUUACUAAGGAAAGAAGGCAUGCAAAUGUGUGAAAUUAUGAACUUAUCAAAUACCCCCAAACUUAGAUUUUGCUAGUCCUCGAGCAAAACAAAAUAAAACUACAACUUAGGAAACAGGAAAUAAGCAACUAGCCUUCCAAACAAUAUCCUCAAAGAAUCAUCAGUGUAAAUGGUUCGAAAGAAACACAACAAUCACAAUCUAAGUUCCACACAUGAUUCACGAGAAAGCAAAGCUAGCAUUGACACCCUUAAGUGUAGUGUGUGAAUGCCAAAUCCGAACAACACCUGCAUCUCAAAUAAGUACAUGUGCACACACUUAGAGCAAAAUCAAGAAUGCCGAACCCCAUAAGCUCAUUAUUCAAUCUGCUCUCCAUAGUAAUACCAUGCAACACCAAGGAUCAAAAGGAGUUUACAAGGGUAGUAAUGAGGUUUAGGGUAGUGGUUGAAUGAAAGAAGGGAUAUGAGAUAUACAAUAUUUUGAGCACACUUAAAGCACAGGUAAGAGCAUAAGAGAGUACUGAACUUUGUAACAAGCAAGGAACACAUACAUGAGCAGAUUUUCAACAUAAUUUCAGCACCUUGAAAUGUGUUUAUUUGGCCUAAUUUUGUGGCUCUU